UUAUAUUGCUAGGGGAGCCUUUGGCUGAGAAAGCAUGUUUCAUGCUGACCCUCAAAACUUGACACGGUUAAUGCCGGCGUAAGGAAGCACCAAAGUAGUCUC
rnacentral:ncRNA from 1 species